rnacentral:rRNA from 1 species
UACGAAGGGGGCUAGCGUUGCUCGGAAUUACUGGGCGUAAAGGGAGCGUAGGCGGAUAGUUUAGUCAGAGGUGAAAGCCCAUGGCUCAACCUUGGAAUUGCCUUUGAUACUGGCUAUCUUGAGUACGGAAGAGGUAUGUGGAACUCCGAGUGUAGAGGUGAAAUUCGUAGAUAUUCGGAAGAACACCAGUGGCGAAGGCGACAUACUGGUCCGUUACUGACGCUGAGGCUCGAAAGCGUGGGGAUCAAACAGG